rnacentral:rRNA from 1 species
GUGGGGAAUAUUGGACAAUGGGCGAAAGCCUGAUCCAGCCAUGCCGCGUGUGUGAAGAAGGUCUUCGGAUUGUAAAGCACUUUAAGUUGGGAGGAAGGGCAUUAACCUAAUACGUUAGUGUUUUGACGUUACCGACAGAAUAAGCACCGGCUAACUUCGUGCCAGCAGCCGCGGUAAUACGAAGGGUGCAAGCGUUAAUCGGAAUUACUGGGCGUAAAGCGCGCGUAGGUGGUUUUGUAAGUUGGAGGUGAAAUCCCCGGGCUCAACCUGGGAACUGCCUCCAAAACUGCAUGACUAGAGUACGGUAGAGGGUAGUGGAAUUUCCUGUGUAGCGGUGAAAUGCGUAGAUAUAGGAAGGAACACCAGUGGCGAAGGCGACUACCUGGACUGAUACUGACACUGAGGUGCGAAAGCGUGGGGAGCAAACAGGAUUAGAAACCCGGGUAGUCC